UACGGAGGAUGCAAGCGUUAUCCGGAAUGAUUGGGCGUAAAGCGUCCGCAGGUGGCUAUGUAAGUCUGCUGUUAAAGAGUGAGGCUCAACCUCAUAAGAGCAGUGGAAACUACAUGGCUAGAGUGCGUUCGGGGCAGAGGGAAUUCCGGGUGUAGCGGUGGAAUGCGUAGAGAUCCGGAGGAAGACCGGUGGCGAAGGCGGUCUGCUGGGCAGUUUCUGACACUGAGGCGCGACAGCGUGGGGAGCAAACAGG
rnacentral:rRNA from 1 species